rnacentral:rRNA from 1 species
UACCAGCACCCCGAGUGGUCGGGACGUUUAUUGGGCCUAAAGCAUCCGUAGCCGGUUUUACAAGUCUUCCGUUAAAUCCAACUGCUUAACAGGUGGGCUGCGGAAGAUACUAUAGAGCUAGGAGGCGGGAGAGGCAAGCGGUACUCGAUGGGUAGGGGUAAAAUCCGUUGAUCCAUUGAAGACCACCAGUGGCGAAGGCGGCUUGCCAGAACGCGCUCGACGGUGAGGGAUGAAAGCUGGGGGAGCAAACCGG